AACUCCAAAAUACUCCAAGGCAAGGUAUGAUGAAAUUGUGAAGGAAGUCUCCUCAUAUCUUAAGAAAGUUGGUUACAACCCUGACAAGAUCCCAUUUGUCCCAAUCUCUGGAUUUGAGGGUGAUAACAUGAUUGAGAGGUCUACCAACCUUGACUGGUACAAGGGUCCCACUCUCCUUGAGGCUCUUGACCAGAUCAAUGAGCCCAAGAGGCCUUCAGACAAGCCACUCCGGCUCCCACUUCAGGAUGUCUACAAGAUUGGUGGCAUUGGAACUGUCCCUGUUGGUCGUGUUGAGACUGGUGUCCUUAAGCCUGGUAUGGUAGUGACCUUUGGCCCCUCUGGUCUGACCACUGAAGUUAAGUCUGUUGAGAUGCACCAUGAAGCCCUCUCUGAGGCUCUCCCUGGUGACAAUGUUGGAUUCAAUGUCAAGAACGUUGCUGUUAAGGAUCUCAAGCGUGGUUUCGUUGCUUCAAACUCUAAGGAUGAUCCUGCAAAGGAGGCUGCCAGCUUCACCUCUCAGGUCAUCAUCAUGAACCACCCUGGGCAGAUUGGAAACGGAUAUGCCCCAGUCCUUGAUUGCCAUACCUCCCACAUUGCUGUGAAAUUUUCCGAAUUGCUGACCAAGAUCGACAGGCGAUCUGGAAAGGAACUUGAGAAGGAGCCCAAGUUCUUGAAGAAUGGUGAUGCAGGGAUGAUAAAGAUGGUUCCCACCAAGCCUAUGGUUGUGGAGACUUUCUCUGAGUACCCACCCCUUGGACGGUUUGCUGUCAGGGACAUGCGUCAGACUGUGGCUGUUGGUGUCAUCAAGAGCGUUGAGAAGAAGGACCCAACUGGUGCUAAGGUCACCAAAUCUGCUGCCAAGAAGAAAUGAGAUUGCAUUUGAUAGUAUCAGAGCCUUUUGAUUUUGGUUAUCUUUGUAGUUUGGUACUUACAGUUUUUUAGACCAAUUUUGAUAUGUGUUCAUUUGGUUGAGACUGUCAUCUGCAUACGGAUUGUGUGUUUGCUUUUUCCGUGUCAAUUUUAGUUGAAUUCCUUCAAAGAAUGCUAAUUUGAUAUUUCCUUGUUUUCUUAUUGUUAUGAUGGUCCUAAGCCUUCGAUUUUCAGCUAAUUUCGUGGUCAAAUCAGGUUUUAGCCUAAUUGUCUUGUUAUUUUUCUGAAUUUCCAUCUUUCAGCGAUAAGUUAGUGAAAUAUGCUAUUUUGGUAAUUAUAAAAUCAUCUUUCAAUUAACGUAAAGAAAUUUCCAUUGCUUAUAUAACAAAGAAAUUCUUUAAUGAUGUGUGAUUUCUGUCAAGAAAGAUAUGGACGAAUAUCAUAUUAAUGCUCAUAAAUUAGAAUUUCUAAUUUCGUAUAAUACAUGGACAAAAACAAAAAUUUAACUCGAAGACAAAAAUGGUCUUAAUUUAGAUCAUCGUUGGCUUGAAAAUUUUAAGGUUUGUUAUAUAUGUUUUUCAAUAUCAUGCUUUUAUUAAACAAAGAACAAGUUACAUAGAAGGUCCACCAAUCCAAAAGCUCAAAAUUUUAUAAAAGUCCGAAGAUCAACUAUCAAUCAAGAAAACCUAGCAACAAACAUCAAAGCCCUGUUGCUGGAGAAGAAUGCUUGGGAAGGUCGGAAGUCACCAACAAAGACGGAUGUAUCUUUCAAUGACAUGUGACGCCUCUAGAGAAAGGUCAUCAAGGAGUUGCAUCAAUGAAACGUUUCGUACCUUUUUUACUAUAUUAUAUAAUAGGGUAUUCUAGGGGACUUCAUCCAGGACUACCUCCUUCUAAAGCUUUUUUUAUAUUGAAGAGAAGUUUCCAAUAUAUGUAUAUAUGUGUGUGGGGAGGGGUCCAUUUAUACUAGUGUAAAACUUAAGUGAUUUUAGUUUUCUUGUAACAUCCCGUCCGACGAAGCUCUAGUGUUCGAGUGUUGUUUAUAGAAGUAAGACAUAUAGAGUAAGUUUUGAGUGGGUAAGGUAUUAAGAUUGACUAAGUAUAUAAGUCUAUGGGUUCGCCUUCUGGCGAAGUCUAUUCUAGGCAAUUUUGCUAAGUCCUCAAUUUGUAUGAACUAUUUGCUUUAUUAUUAUUAUUAUUUUAUUAUCUUGGUUGAACAAUCUGGUUAGACGAACGAAAAUUUGGUUAGUAUAGGACUAAGUUUCUGCAACCGGUUAGAUCCACAUAUAUGAAGAGAGAGAAAGUGCUUAGUCACAAGGAACGAGGGGUUUGGAGGGAAACCAGGCUUACUCACUAAGUUCUCCUUCUGUGUAUUUUGUAUAAUGCAAGCUUUGGCUUCCUGAGCAAGUUUUAUGCUUUCUUUGACAACUAUAUUUUCUUCUCAAACUUUAUCUGUAUUUUUCUCUUGAAAAACCCUAGACUUAAGACUUGCUUGAAGAUUUUUGGUUUGUUGUACUCAACCAACUCUAUCAUCGUUUAACACCUAGUAAAUAUUGAUGAAACUCAAGUUAUUUUCAUGGUUUAAGGUCAAUUUAAAGUGCGAGGAAUAAAACUUCCAGAUUCUGGGUUUUUUGUUAAUGUUCUUGUAAACUUGUUUGGUUUUUUGGUAUAAUGAACUAAUAAGUUUAUGUAACACCCUACACUAGAAUUGAUCGCCUGAUCCAAUAUAGAGUGAACAACCAUUAAACACAAAUACAUUUAAAUAACAUUUUCAAUAAAAGAACAAUUAUAAAUCUAUAAUAUCAAAUACAUUCAAAUUCAUGUUAUUUUAGCUUAACUUGACCUAAAUCGAGUUUUAGAAACGUUUAAAACAAACCGGGAGUAAAUCUGGGUUAAAAUGAAUCAAUUACAAAAUUUUGAUAAAAAUUACAAAAUAAGGGUCACAUGGCCGUCUAGCCAGACUGUGUAGCAUACUAACUUGGAAGACACGGCCGUAUGGGGAGACCGUGUGCAACACAUAGUUGUGUGAUAGCCUGUGUCCUAGGCCGUGUGCCCCUAAAUGAACCUUCAAUUUCAAGUUUACCAAAACUAACUUACUUAGACUACAAGUAACUCAUUUACCAAUCAUUAAGCCUACUUAAAACAAACCUAAAUGAGCCCAAAACAUGUUAAAAUCAUCCAACCUAAGUGCCUAACCAAUGUGCCCUCAUUGACACCACAAAUAAAAUCAUUCAACCAAGUAACACAACUAAGGAAGAAGCUUCAUCAAUAGGCAUCCAUUCAUGCCUAAACCAUCAAUCUAUAUGGCUAAAUAUGAACAUACUCUACAAGCUACCAUUUCAAAGCACCAUCACCAAAUAAAUGACAUUAAGGAUCAACUUAACCACAACCAACACAAGUACAUAUCCAAAACCAACCACAUUAACUAAAUAUACCAAAAUAACUUAACAUUUUACAUAUCAACAACAUAACACCUAUAUACAUGCCACAUUCCAAAAUGAUAAACAAAAGCUACCGAGAAGGCUGAAUAGAGUGAGCUCCAAAUGGAUCCAUCCGGUUAGUUCGCAAGAUGGUAACUACAAAAGAAACACAACUAUUUCAAUAUUCAAUCUCAAUCAUAGCAAUUCAAUUUAAAUAACCACUAUCAAAUAACCUCAAUACCAUAAUAUGCAAAAUAUCAUGAAUAUGCAACAACUAAUUUGAUCUCGAAUCAUAGAAAUACAAACUAAAAUCUCGUAUCACUCAUCGUUAGCUCUCAUAUUUUCCUUUCCCUCUCAACGACCCGACGUCAUCUUUAGCUAUGAAUAAUUAUUCAAUAAAUACACAAUAUCAAUUUUCAUCUGAUUCACAUUCAAAUACAAAGCCAAACAUAUUUUAUACUUUAUUCAAUUUAGUCCCUAAAAUCGGGAUAAGCAUAGGUUUCAAUAUAUAGCUUCAGAUUAAAAUUUGAUUUUACAUUUACUCACUAAGGACCCACUUUCGAUUCUUAACAUAAUUUCAUAAUAUAUUUUCAUUUUAUUCAAUUUUACCCCUAAUGUAACAAAAUUAAUAACUAAGCUUAUUAUGAUUUACAAUUUAGUCCUUUUCAUAAUUUAAGCUAAAUUUCUAUCAAUUUCAAGCCUAAUUCCUUAAAUUCUUAAUAAUGGAAACUUAUCAAAAUUUCAAAAAUUGAACAAAUUGAUACAUGAGCUAGCUAAAUCAAUCUCUCAUGAUCAUAAAUAUAUAAAAAUCAAAGAAAAAUGACCAAGGAUUUACUUGUAAACAAUGGUCGAAUGUACAAAGGUUUAAAAAAAUGGUGGUUUCUUGUUUUUGUUUCGAUGGACGACGAGGAAGAUGAUAUUUGCUUUUAUACUAAGUUUAACCAAUAAAUAACCUUAACUAAUUAAUUAGUUUAAGCAUGUUUUACUUUUAAUUAAUCCUAAUUUAAUAAUAAAUUACCCUUAAUGGAACUCAUUAUCAGAGCCCAAUGGAACUCAUUAUCAGAGCCCACUAACUCCUAUUCUAAAUUGGUUUAUUAACCAUUUUAGCCCAUUGGAUAAUUGCUAUCUAAGUCCCCAAGCCUUUUCCUAAUUAAAAAUCUAUAACGAUUGGACUUUUAUAAUUUAAUGCUUAGGUCUUAAUUUGUAACACCCCUAACCCGUGUCCGUCGCUGGACUAGGGUUACGAGGCAUUACCAAACAAAACACAGUUCAGAACAGACAUUCUUUACAAUUCAUAGGCCUAGUAAUGUAUUCUCCUUUAUAAAAUUUUCCGAAAUAAAUUAAUAAACCAACCUCUUAUUCAUACAAGUCAAAAUCAUUUAUUUGAAUCACAUAUCUAACCACACAAAUCAUGUUUUAUCGAACAUUCUCUUAUAUGAACUAUAUUUCAAUAUCUAACCAUUUCAAUUACGUUUGCUAAUUCAAAACUUUCAAGCCAAGCCAUCAAAUAUCAAAACCAAUUUGUACAUGUUUCAGAAUUACAAAAAUUCAAGCCAUAUGGCCAUCAUUUCCAUGACAUUCGAAUACUCAAUUUAUAAUCAAACAUCUUUCAUUUCAUAUACCGAGCAUAUAUCGAGACACCCAUUUGUUUACAUCUAUUCCAUAACAAAUCAACGAUCAUACCAUUUUAUAAAUCUGAGUACAUUCGCAUAUUACGUCUUUCCAACCUAUAUCAUUAACUAAAUAACAAACGUAAUAUUUAAUAAACAUUAUACAUACACCUGUUAAACUAAUUUAGCCAUAUCUCGCAGUUUAAUAAUCAUUUGCACAUAAAACGUUAGGCAGCUUUAUACAUGACCAACUAUAUUUUUAACAUCAUCCAACCAUGUGCAUAACACCCUAAAACCAAAAGCCAUUUCUAAAUUCAGUUACCAAAUCAUAGCAUUUUAAACAUUAUAACCUUAUGUACAUUUUACUAAAUCAAAUUUAACCAUUUUCGAAUACAAAUGCCAAGUCAUAAAAUAUCUAAUUUGCAAGCUAAAUAACAUAUCUAACAUGUUAUAUUCAACCACACACAUGAACCACAUACCUAAUUCGCAUGCGAAUUAUUAUGCCUAUAAUUCAUAUACACAACCAAUUAAUAUUUUCAAUAAUCAAUCAUUCAAUUUAACCUCCAUAUCAAUUAGAUCAUAUACAUUCUUUGUCAUUCAAAACCAAGCCUAAAUAGUCAAAUAUCAUAGCCGAACAUAUAACUACCUAUAUGUAACACAUUUUAUAACCAUUCAUUGAAUCAACGAUUUGACCUUUUUAAAAUGAACUACAAGCAAACAUUAAAUAGGCAUAUGUACUCAUAUCUCAAAUGUCCAACAAUUUAAAUAAACAACCUUUCGGUUAUCAAAUUUAACUCAAUAAAUCAUAACAUUUCCAUCACCCAAUCUAUAAGAUAAACAUAUUAUCUCAUAUCUUAACAUCAAAACAAUAUGUCAUUUAUAAAUAUUCAAAUGACCCUUUUUCCAAACCAUAUUUUACCACUUUUCAUGCUACCAAAGUGAGUUAAUUAAUAAGCCGAAUAUAUACCCUACUUACCACUUCUCAUUGCCAAAUCAUAUAACCAACAUCACAACAUAUUUACCAUAAAUCAUACCUCUCAAUUAAGCUUAUAACAUGACCAAAUAUAAUUACCAACAUUUGCAUCAUGAACAAGCCAUUUUUGCAUGGCUAUAUACAUAUACGAAUUUCAAAACCACAAAUAUCAAAACUAGCUUAUACAUGCCACAUAACCAAAUCUCAAAGCGUUUAUUUACCGAAAUGAAUACUGGAUAGUGUGAUGAGAUCUCCCAAGACUUCCAACCCAAGCAAGUCUCCGAAACUGUAUAACAUAGGAAAAACACACAGAGUAAGCUUUGAAAGCUUAGUAAGCCAUAAGCAAAUAAAUAAUUUCAAUAAUGUUUAUAAUUCAAUUUCACUAAGCUGAAUUUAACAAAUCUCAACCACAUAUACAUUCAUCAUAAUCGUAAUUUCUUAAGACCACAUUAGGUAACUUCACUAGACUUAAUUAUGGAUGGACAUAUAAACUGUGUUUUCAAAUUUAUAUAUCUACCAUUAGCUCAUUCAUAGGAUUAAGCUUCCAUAAUUUCAUUACAUACCAACUGAAUCAUGGUCAUUUAUUACAGUUUAUUCGUAAAAAAAAAUAUCAGUUUCUUUUUAUACACUUCCAAGCUCGAAAAACCAUAACAAUUCACACAUCAAAACCAUGUUCCGUGUUUCAUAAUUUUCAUGUCCGAAACAUAGAACCAUUAUUUCAUAUAACGAGCAUAUAUAACACAUCAUUCAUUAUCAUAUAUUUCAUAUAUAUCAUCAUUUUAAUCAUACUCACAUUUCAUAUCAAAAUUUCAUAUACAAAUCAUUUGUACCUAAAUCAUAUAUGGCAAAAACACAAUUACAAUUCUACAUUUCUUAUAUGAUUCAUUUGUUCAUAGUUCACUUGCUAAUAUUCACAUAUCAUUUUCACAUAAAUUAUAUAACGAAUAAUCAUAAUCAUACUCACUUUCAUUGCUCAAAUUCAUAUUCAUCACAACAUACCUGAUUCGGAUGCACAUUCAUAUACUCAUUUAUUUCUCGGAAUGCCUUUUGAACCGUUCGAAAUCAAAUAGGAUGCUUGGAUAGCUUAAAAAAAACUCGUACAAUGCCAACGUCCCAGACGUGGUCUUACAUGUAAUCAAUAUCGAUGUCAUUGUCCCAGACAGGGUCUUACACGAAAUCAAAUAUGAUAUCGAUGUCCCAGACAUGGUCUUACGCAUAAAUCUCAAAUCGAUGCCAACGUCCCAGACGUGGUCUUACACAAUAACAAAUAUCGGAAUCCUAUGUCAUAACAUAUGUAUCCUAACUAUUCCUAUGGCUCGUACGUGGCUUUUCAGACGUCGUAAUUCUAUCGAUUCAAGCUCGUAACUAGUUCUUCAACUCUAAAUUCAAUUCGGCAUAUACACAUAUAUUUAUUAAAGAUCAAUUCAGCUCAUAUAACAUAGAUACAUUCAAUAUACAUUAAAAUUGAACAGCAUUUAUUUACUUAUGAACUUACCUCGUACGGACGCGAACGGACCGGAACGACUAAUUGAUAACUUCUGAUUUUCCCGAUUCAAAUCCGAUUUCCACAUUUGCCAAUCUAAUUAAUAUCAAAAUUAACUUAAUUAUUAAAAAUUUAAUUCAAUUUUCAUUCAAGAACAUAUAAAUGGUAAUUUGCAUUUUAGCCCCUAACAUUUUGCAUUUUUCUCAAUUUAGUCCUUAUUUCAAAAUAACACAAAAUACACAAAAUUUCACUAAAUCCUUGUUAGGCCAAAUUCUACCCAUACUACUAGCAGUCCAUAUUUUUAGUUUAUUCACACAUUUAACCUUUAAUUUUACACUUUUCUCAAUUUAAUCCUUAAUACACAUUUUUAUAAAAAAUCACUUAAUUAAACAUAAUAAUCUAUCAACAAAAGUUUAUAUUUCAUCAUCAAACCACAAAAAAUCAAGCUAACAUCAAUGGCAUCAGUUCCGAAAAUUAAAGCAUGGGUUUGCUAGCACGAAGCAACGAUCACAAAAACAUAAAAUUAUCAAAAACCAAACAAAGAACAUACCCGAAUUUGAUCUUCAAGUUGUCGAACCCUCAAACUAAGAAAAUGGCUUAUUUUCUUUUAUGCAUUCAGCCAUAAAGAUGAACAUAAUGGCCAUUUUAUGAUUUUGUUUUAUUUUAUUUCUUAUUAAUAUGCCAUUUUACCUUUUUAACCUUAAUGAAAUAAUAUAAAAACUUAAAAAUAGUUGUCCACUACCGUCCAUUCUAUCAUUUAAUGGCCUAAUUUCAUUUUAUGGCCUCCACAUUAAAAGAAUAUAGCAAUAUAACACUUUCACAAAUAGUAAGUCACUUUUUCAUUUUACGCGAUUAAGUCUUUUUUAUCAAAUUGAGCACUCAAACGAUCAAAUUUUCAUACGAAAUUUUCACACAUAUUAAUUCACAUACUGAAAAUACCAAAAAUAAUAUUAAAAUAUUUUUCUAACUUGGAUUUGUCGUCCCAAAACCACUGUUUCGACUAGGGUCUAAACCGAGCUGUUACAUAAUUAACCACAUUUUCGGCUAAAUUACUUAAUUGAAUUAACUCCGUAAGUAUUCCUAUUUAAUAUUUACGGACUCCAUUUACGAAAAUAGGAUUCUAAAACUACAUUUUUCGACACCAUUGAAAAGCAGAUCAUUACAUUGAUAGUUUGUCCAAUACGAAAACUAUUGAGGUAAUAACACUUGAUGAUUAUGGUUUUGUGGUUGGUAUAAAUUUCCUUGACUGGAUUAAUAUAUUUCUUGUCCCUUUUACUAAUUGCAUAUGCAUUUUGAAUCAGCGCUACUAAUGUGUGGUAUCGAUUAAAUGUAAGGCGGGUGCGGAAGCUAAUGUCUUAUCCGUAAUACCGUUUGCUAAUAGGGUGUAUAGAGAUGAAGUUUCUUACUUAGAAAAUUUGAAGGUUAAUGGGUCUAAUAAGCCUAUUGAGAAGAUCCCAAAAGUGAAAGUUCUUUUGUUACAGUCUUUUCGAGAUGUGAUGCCUAGAAAAUUACCUCUUAAGAGGGAGGAUCACAGGAUUGAGUUAAUGCCCAAUGCCGAACCGCCAACCAAGUCUUCAUACUGAAUUUCACCGCUAGAAUUGGAGGAAUUGUGGAAACAACUGAAGGAUCUCUUAGAUGUUGGGUUCAUUAAACCAUCUAAAGCUCCAUAUGGUGCACCAAUUUUGUUUCAAAAAAAGCAUGAUGAGUUUUUGAGAUUUUGCAUCAACUAUCAAGCAUUGAACAAGAUCAUUGUGAAGAACAUGUGCCCAAUUCCACUCAUUGCAGAUUUGUUUGAUCAACUUGGUAGUGUAAGGUGGUUUACCAAGUUGGAUUUGCAGUCGAGGUACCAUCAAGUCAAAGCAGUCGAAGAGGAUGAACCAAAGACAACUUGUGUGACUCAUUAUGAUUGGAAUGAGUUCUUUGUUAUGCAUUUUGAAUUGACUAAUGUUCCAAGGACAUUUUUCACCCUGAUGAAUAAGGUACUACAACCUUUUUCAGAUCAUUUUGUGAUUUUUUAUCUUGAUGACAUUGUGGUGUACAAUAAGUAAAUCACUUGCAAGUGAUGCAUUUAAGGGAAGUGUUCCAAAUCUUGUAAGAGAAUAAGCGUUAUGUCAAAGAGAAAAAAUGCUCAUUCGCAUAGUGCGAGGUACCUUUCUUAUGUAACAUUGAGGUAGGUGGUAGAGUUUGAAUGGAUAGGAGCAAAAUUCAGGCUAUUGUUGAUUAACAACUUUCUACUGAAGUAGAAAUGAGAAACAAAGCCAACAAGGAAAAUGAAAACAGGGACUAACGAAACCCAAGCUAAGAAAUGGCCAUGUUGAUCACCUUUUUGAUACCUGAUAUGGGUUAAAGUCACGACUUUUAAUGGAUGAUCAACUCUUAUGGUGAAAUUUCAAGUCAAUCGAAGAAACUAAAAUUAAAAUCAAUUUCAAGUGGGAUGUAGUUUGGGAGGAAUGAGUUUUAACUCGUGUUUCAAUUCAAUGUUUAUUUCUCGAGAAACUGCUGGUAAUGAAAAAGGUGUGAGUGAGAAAAUUCAGGUUAGGGAGAGAGAUGUCUACACCGACGAAGAAACAACCACGGUGUUGGCUUACAUGUGGGAAUAAAGGAACAGACGUUGAUAGAUCCUACCUUGUUAUAUUCUCAAAAGGUCAGGGGUAUUAUUGGUUUUCCAACAUGAAGAGAAUGUCAAAUUAACGUCUAAUCUGAGAUGUCGGUCGUGACCCGUUGGAUUAAAUGCAAUCCGACGGAUGAGAAAGAAACCCUAGUUGAGCCAAAGCUGAGAGUGUGGCUGGCUACUUAAGUUAAACCAUCCCGCUGCUAUCGCCCUCUCUUGUUCUCGCUCAACGCUCUCUUCUUCUGCUUCUGGUCAAGCCAAUCUCAAAAGACUUCCCUUUUAGCUCACAGGUAUUAAUCCAUUUACAACUUAUGAUUAUCUUUCAAAUGUUAUUGCUUUGAUUCGAAGAAAAAUGCUGUCUGAUUUGUUGGUAGCUGAAAUAUUAUAUCUGAUUUGCUGAAAUGGUUCUCAUACGAUUCAUAUUUUGUGUGUAGUUUCGGAUCUGAUUCUUUGUUUUUUUUUGGUUGUUGUGUUUUUAGAUUUCAUUCAUGAACGUAAGUUUUGAACUCUAGAAUUUAUUUUUCUGAGAAAAUAAUUCCUGUGCUAACUGGUUUAUAGAAGCAAAUGCUGCCUGAGGGAAAUUUUUUAACGAAUAAUUAAAAUUGUCGAGUAUUAUUUUCUUAGGUUAGUUUGUCUUCGAUGGAAAUGUUUGACUGGCUUCAUGGGAAAGGAUAAGUUAAGAUCUAGUGGCUGUAGUUCAUUGGAAUGAACUCCAUAUCUAUGGAGGAACUGGGCUCGAAUCCCAGCGGCCACGUUUUAUCAAUGUUGGAUCUGUUGAAUUUAAAUGUGGCUUGAUUUUCUUUUUAGAAAUUGACUUGAACUGUUCUUCGUAAACAAUAAAAGUGGGUCCCAGAUUCAUUGUUUCUUGUUCGCAAGAUGUUGGUCUUCUUGUGUGAUUUUGACUUGGAAUUAUGUUUUGAGCUUAUUUUAUGAAUAUGUUUCUUCUCGAUUUUUAGCUCCUCUCUUGAGUACUAUAAUGGGUAAGGAGAAGGUUCACAUCAACAUUGUGGUCAUCGGCCAUGUCGACUCUGGGAAGUCUACAACCACUGGUCAUUUGAUCUACAAGCUUGGUGGUAUUGACAAGCGUGUGAUUGAGAGGUUUGAGAAGGAGGCUGCUGAGAUGAACAAAAGGUCAUUUAAGUAUGCAUGGGUGCUUGACAAGCUUAAGGCCGAACGUGAACGUGGUAUUACCAUCGAUAUUGCCCUCUGGAAGUUUGAGACUACCAAAUACUACUGCACUGUCAUUGAUGCCCCUGGACACCGUGACUUUAUCAAGAACAUGAUUACUGGUACCUCACAGGCUGACUGUGCUGUUCUCAUUAUCGACUCGACCACUGGUGGUUUUGAAGCUGGUAUCUCAAAGGAUGGUCAGACACGUGAGCAUGCUUUGCUUGCAUUUACCCUUGGUGUCAAGCAGAUGAUUUGCUGCUGCAACAAGGUAAGGUUUAGAACGUGUUGGAGUUUAUUGUUAGAUUGUAUUGAUGUUCUUUUUAUCAAUAAUGGAAUUUCAAUUAUCAUCUCGUACAGAUGGAUGCAACAACUCCAAAAUACUCCAAGGCAAGGUAUGAUGAAAUUGUGAAGGAAGUCUCCUCAUAUCUUAAGAAAGUUGGUUACAACCCUGACAAGAUCCCAUUUGUCCCAAUCUCUGGAUUUGAGGGUGAUAACAUGAUUGAGAGGUCUACCAACCUUGACUGGUACAAGGGUCCCACUCUCCUUGAGGCUCUUGACCAGAUCAAUGAGCCCAAGAGGCCUUCAGACAAGCCACUCCGGCUCCCACUUCAGGAUGUCUACAAGAUUGGUGGCAUUGGAACUGUCCCUGUUGGUCGUGUUGAGAC
rnacentral:lncRNA from 1 species